rnacentral:SRP_RNA from 1 species
ACCGAGCGCAGUGGCACGUGCCUGUAGUCCCACCUACUCAGGAGGCUGAGAUGGGAAGAUCACUUGAGCCCAGGAGUUCUGGGCUGUAGUGCACUAUGCCGAUCGGGUGUCCGCACUAAGUUCGGCAUCAAUAUGGUGACCUCCCUGGAGUGGGGGACCACCAGGUUGCCUAAGGAGUGGUGAACCAGCCCAGGUCAGAAAGGGAGCAGAUCAAACUCCCGUGCUGAUCAGUAGUGGGAUGGCGCCUGUGAAUAGCCACUGCACUCCAGCCUGGGCAACAUAGUGAGACCCCGUCUCUA